rnacentral:rRNA from 1 species
AUUGAACGCUGGCGGCAGGCCUAACACAUGCAAGUCGAACGAGUGGCGGACGGGUGAGUAAUGUCUGGGAAACUGCCUGUUGGAGGGGGAUAACUACUGGAAACGGUAGCUAAUACCGCAUACCAUCGGAUGUGCCUAGAUGUGAUUAGCUUGUAGGUGGGGUAACGGCUCACCUAGGCGACGAUCCCUAGCUGGUCUGAGAGGGUGAACAGCCACACUGGAACUGAGACACGGUCCAGACUCCUACGGGAGGCAGCAGUGGGGAAUAUUGCAAAAUGGGCGCAAGCCUGAUACAGCCAUGCCGCGUGUAUGAAGAAGGCCUUCGGGUGGUAAAGUACUUUCAGCGGGGAGGCGUUACCCGCAGAAGAAGCACCGGCUAACUCCGUGCCAGCAGCCGCGGUAAUUC